AUGAACGCUAGCUACAGGCUUAACACAUGCAAGUCGAGGGGCAGCAUUUUAGUUUGCUUGCAAACUAAAGAUGGCGACCGGCGCACGGGUGAGUAACACGUAUCCAACCUGCCGAUAACUCGGGGAUAGCCUUUCGAAAGAAAGAUUAAUAUCCGAUAGUAUAUUAAAACCGCAUGGUUUUACUAUUAAAGAAUUUCGGUUAUCGAUGGGGAUGCGUUCCAUUAGUUUGUUGGCGGGGUAACGGCCCACCAAGACUACGAUGGAUAGGGGUUCUGAGAGGAAGGUCCCCCACAUUGGAACUGAGACACGGUCCAAACUCCUACGGGAGGCAGCAGUGAGGAAUAUUGGUCAAUGGACGAGAGUCUGAACCAGCCAAGUAGCGUGAAGGAUGACUGCCCUAUGGGUUGUAAACUUCUUUUAUAUGGGAAUAAAGUAUUCCACGUGUGGGAUUUUGUAUGUACCAUAUGAAUAAGGAUCGGCUAACUCCGUGCCAGCAGCCGCGGUAAUACGGAGGAUCCGAGCGUUAUCCGGAUUUAUUGGGUUUAAAGGGAGCGUAGGUGGAUUGUUAAGUCAGUUGUGAAAGUUUGCGGCUCAACCGUAAAAUUGCAGUUGAAACUGGCAGUCUUGAGUACAGUAGAGGUGGGCGGAAUUCGUGGUGUAGCGGUGAAAUGCUUAGAUAUCACGAAGAACUCCGAUUGCGAAGGCAGCUCACUAGACUGCAACUGACACUGAUGCUCGAAAGUGUGGGUAUCAAACAGGAUUAGAUACCCUGGUAGUCCACACAGUAAACGAUGAAUACUCGCUGUUUGCGAUAUACAGUAAGCGGCCAAGCGAAAGCGUUAAGUAUUCCACCUGGGGAGUACGCCGGCAACGGUGAAACUCAAAGGAAUUGACGGGGGCCCGCACAAGCGGAGGAACAUGUGGUUUAAUUCGAUGAUACGCGAGGAACCUUACCCGGGCUUAAAUUGCAUUUGAAUAAUCUGGAAACAGGUUAGCCGCAAGGCAAAUGUGAAGGUGCUGCAUGGUUGUCGUCAGCUCGUGCCGUGAGGUGUCGGCUUAAGUGCCAUAACGAGCGCAACCCUUAUCUUUAGUUACUAACAGGUUAUGCUGAGGACUCUAGAGAGACUGCCGUCGUAAGAUGUGAGGAAGGUGGGGAUGACGUCAAAUCAGCACGGCCCUUACGUCCGGGGCUACACACGUGUUACAAUGGGGGGUACAGAAGGCAGCUACCUGGCGACAGGAUGCUAAUCCCAAAAACCUCUCUCAGUUCGGAUCGAAGUCUGCAACCCGACUUCGUGAAGCUGGAUUCGCUAGUAAUCGCGCAUCAGCCAUGGCGCGGUGAAUACGUUCCCGGGCCUUGUACACACCGCCCGUCAAGCCAUGAAAGCCGGGGGUACCUGAAGUACGUAACCGCAAGGAGCGUCCUAGGGUAAAACUGGUAAUUGGGGCU
rnacentral:rRNA from 1 species